rnacentral:rRNA from 1 species
UACGAGAGCCCCGAGCAUUAUCCGGAAUCAUUGGGCGUAAAGGGUGCGUAGAUGGUGUUAUUAGUCUUUUGUUAAAUCCUCGGGCUUAACCUGAGAUCGGCAGAAGAAACGGUAAUACUAGAGAGUGUGAGAGGUGUACGGAACUCAUGGUGUAGGGGUGAAAUCCGUUGAUAUCAUGGGGAACACCAAAAGCGAAGGCAGUACACUGGCACACAUCUGACGUUCAAGCACGAAAGCGUGGGUAGCGAAUGGG